CAAGCGGCCAAGCGAUCUGGUGCGCAUGCUGAGAAUGUGCGCGUCGCGGCCGUUUCCAAAACCAAGCCAGUCUAUCUGAUUUGCGAAGUCUACAAUGUGGGUCACCAUUGUUUGGGCGAAAAUUACGUCCAAGAGAUCGUCAAGAAAGCUCCUCGGCAGCUACCCGAGGACACCGAUCGGCAUUUGGCAGGGCAUUUUGCAGAGCAACGAAGCCAAAACGCUUCUCUCUGCAGAUCCAAAUUUGGCGAUGGUAAGGACUCCCAUCCGUCUUUGCAGAAAUUAGAAGCUCUUGCCCUUCCAUAGCCGUUAAUUAUUAGCUAGACAAACUCACCAUGUAACUCUAUCAGCGUACUAUUUGUUUUAUUUUAUUUAAAUUAAUAGCAUUUUAUUUGAUUUCACUUAA